rnacentral:rRNA from 3 species
AGAGUUUGAUCCUGGCUCAGGAUGAACGCUGGCGGCGUGCCUAAUACAUGCAAGUCGAGCGAACGGACGAGAAGCUUGCUUCUCUGAUGUUAGCGGCGGACGGGUGAGUAACACGUGGAUAACCUGCCUAUAAGACUGGGAUAACUUCGGGAAACCGGAGCUAAUACCGGAUAAUAUUUUGAACCGCAUGGUUCAAAAGUGAAAGACGGUCUUGCUGUCACUUAUAGAUGGAUCCGCGCUGCAUUAGCUAGUUGGUAAGGUAACGGCUUACCAAGGCAACGAUGCAUAGCCGACCUGAGAGGGUGAUCGGCCACACUGGAACUGAGACACGGUCCAGACUCCUACGGGAGGCAGCAGUAGGGAAUCUUCCGCAAUGGGCGAAAGCCUGACGGAGCAACGCCGCGUGAGUGAUGAAGGUCUUCGGAUCGUAAAACUCUGUUAUUAGGGAAGAACAUAUGUGUAAGUAACUGUGCACAUCUUGACGGUACCUAAUCAGAAAGCCACGGCUAACUACGUGCCAGCAGCCGCGGUAAUACGUAGGUGGCAAGCGUUAUCCGGAAUUAUUGGGCGUAAAGCGCGCGUAGGCGGUUUUUUAAGUCUGAUGUGAAAGCCCACGGCUCAACCGUGGAGGGUCAUUGGAAACUGGAAAACUUGAGUGCAGAAGAGGAAAGUGGAAUUCCAUGUGUAGCGGUGAAAUGCGCAGAGAUAUGGAGGAACACCAGUGGCGAAGGCGACUUUCUGGUCUGUAACUGACGCUGAUGUGCGAAAGCGUGGGGAUCAAACAGGAUUAGAUACCCUGGUAGUCCACGCCGUAAACGAUGAGUGCUAAGUGUUAGGGGGUUUCCGCCCCUUAGUGCUGCAGCUAACGCAUUAAGCACUCCGCCUGGGGAGUACGACCGCAAGGUUGAAACUCAAAGGAAUUGACGGGGACCCGCACAAGCGGUGGAGCAUGUGGUUUAAUUCGAAGCAACGCGAAGAACCUUACCAAAUCUUGACAUCCUUUGACAACUCUAGAGAUAGAGCCUUCCCCUUCGGGGGACAAAGUGACAGGUGGUGCAUGGUUGUCGUCAGCUCGUGUCGUGAGAUGUUGGGUUAAGUCCCGCAACGAGCGCAACCCUUAAGCUUAGUUGCCAUCAUUAAGUUGGGCACUCUAAGUUGACUGCCGGUGACAAACCGGAGGAAGGUGGGGAUGACGUCAAAUCAUCAUGCCCCUUAUGAUUUGGGCUACACACGUGCUACAAUGGACAAUACAAAGGGCAGCGAAACCGCGAGGUCAAGCAAAUCCCAUAAAGUUGUUCUCAGUUCGGAUUGUAGUCUGCAACUCGACUACAUGAAGCUGGAAUCGCUAGUAAUCGUAGAUCAGCAUGCUACGGUGAAUACGUUCCCGGGUCUUGUACACACCGCCCGUCACACCACGAGAGUUUGUAACACCCGAAGCCGGUGGAGUAACCUUUUAGGAGCUAGCCGUCGAAGGUGGGACAAAUGAUUGGGGUGAAGUCGUAACAAGGUAGCCGUAUCGGAAGGUGCGGCUGGAUCACCU